ensembl:snRNA U6 U6 spliceosomal RNA
GUGCUCGCUUCGGCAGCACAUAUACUAAAAAAUUGGAAUGAUACAGGUAAGAUUAGCAUGGCCCCUGGCAAGGAUGACACGCAAAUUCGUGAAGCAUUCCAUAUUCUU